GGAAUUUUAGUAUUUUUAUUUGGAAUUAUUUGGAAAAUGAUGAAAUAUUGACAUUUGGGCCUAGAGUGGUGAUUAGCAGAAGAGGGGGUGUUGACUAAGCAAGCCCAUUAUAAUAAUUAUUUUAUUUUUCAUAAAAUAAGGAAUUUGGGGAAAAGAGGAAGGAGAAGCAGGAACUGAGUCUGAAGAAAGGAGAACACGUGAAAGUGAGAAGAGCCAAAGGGGAAGAGAACUUCGAAGAUUCGACUCUGAGGUAAGGGGGGAUUCUUCGGGUUAGUAUUCCUUAUGUGAUUGUAGGUAGUAUGAUUGAUUAGGAUUGUUGUCUAGUUCAAUCGUACGUGUCGGGUUUGGGAAUUUUGUUAGGUUUUGAUAAUCUUGUAUGAAUUGGCAUGAUUUUGUUGAUACUUGUGAUAUAUGAUGUUAAUACAUGUCAAUAACUUGUUUGAAAUGUGUAAUUGUGUGAAAAACAAUGAUAAUUGUGUGUAUGUUCGUAUGUACCUGAAAUUGGGGUAUUGGGAUAUGGUAAAUGCUGUCAAAAUGGUGAUUUUUGCUGUGCAGGUACGUAGGAACCGGUUCCCAUGUGGGACGAACCGGUUCCCCCUUGUAAAAACAGAGAAAUAUGGGUUCUGGGUAGCUGGGAACCGGUUCCCAUGUAGGGACAACCCGGUUCCCCAUAGUAAAAAUCAGAGACGUGACUUUGAAGCUGCCAGGAACCGGUUCCCACGUAGGGACAACCCCGUUCCUGCAGCACUUUUUCUAAAAAUGUUUUAUCUUUGAAAACUCAUAACUUUUGAUCCGAGUAUCCGAUUUAUGUGCCGUUUUGGGCGUUGUGAAGCUAGUGAGAUGCUUUAUCUGAUGAAUUGAUAAAAUGGGCAAUAGCCAACUUUACUUUUUAAACUCGAUUUAAUUAUUAAUGAAUUGAAAGAUAGUAUAUGUAUAUGUGCUUAUAUAUAUGACUAUUGAUGCAUGUUCUGUAUUGGUGAUGAGAUUGUGAUAUUUAUUGGGUGAUGUUGGUUUAUAACAUGUCGUAAAUGAAUACAUAUUUUGUGAUUAUGUUGUUGGGUUGUUUUGAUAAUUGGUUACAUUGUGUGCAAUGAUGUUAGAUGUAACGAUGUAUGAACGUGGUGAUGAUUGAUGAAUUAUGAAUGUUAAUAUACUGUUAAUAUUAACAUGUGAACUGUGGUGAAUGUAUGUGUGAUAUGUUUGUAUGAAUGCUAAGAAUAUAUACAUGCUUAUUGGUGAUGAUUUGGUGAUGAUAAUGAGACGAUGUGUUACAUCGGAUUGGUGAUGUUGUAAGCAUGUUAUAUGUUGCAUUCAUUGGCAUACAUUUUUGGUGAUGGAUCCCGGUGAUGAAAGUGGAUCAAAACGGUGGGCAUGAUUCCCAGUGUGUGGAAUCGGUGCUGGAUAUUUUGGUGGGCAUGAUUCCCAGUGUGUGGAAUCGGUGCUGGAUAUUUUGGUGAGCAUGAUUCCCAGUGUGUGGAAUCGGUGCUGGAUAUUUGGUGAGCAUGAUUCUCUGUGUGUGGAAUCGGUGCUGGUUAAACUGUAUCUCAGUGAUGAGGAUAUCAGUUGGAUGGGUAUAUCCCAUGUAUGGUACCACAUGCAUAGUGUCAGUUUAAUCAUAUGCAUUGGUUAUAACAUGAUUGGAUGGAAUUCAGUGUUAUGCCUUGGUGUGUUUAUAUGAUUGAUGUAUUAAGAAUAUGUUGUUAAUAUAACUUGAUCAUUAGUAUAAUUGAUGAGUUGUGGGCCGAUGGCCAAUAUUGUUGGAUUGAUGUUUACUUGUUGUAAUAAUUCUGAUUAUAUGUAUGAUUGAGUGGAUGAUAAUUACUAUGAGAUUUUAUUGCUUAUGAUUGCAUAAUGCUUAUUAAUUCGAAUGAAACUCACCCUUACUUUGAUGAUUUCAGAUUAAGGAUGUAGCGGCGUCUUGAUUGGGUGAAGAUAGCUUAUAGGCUAGCCCUUAGUCCGUGUCGAGUCAUGCUCUGAAUGUAACACUGGGGAACGCUAGUUUAGAGACGAGUUAUUAUGUCGGUCUUUGUUGUUUAUAAUUGUAUUAGAGAACUUGCAUGAAUGAUGAUGAUUAUGCAAUGUUAUGAAUUAUAAUCCGCUGUGUUGAACAUGAAUUGUAUUUAUGUUAAAUGGUUCCUCGUGUGGCAUGACAAAUGACUAUAGUAUUUUAUGUUAAAGAAGUUGUGACAUCCUUGUAUUUCAUGUUUACUCUGAAUUUUUAUUAUAUUUUCCGUGGGGGUUUUAGAAGGGUGUUACAAUAGUGGUAUCAGAGCAUUGUCGGUCCUUGCGACCAGAGUCUUGUUGUUAAUUUCCUUUCGGUAUGCGACAUGUGUGUGAAACACUGUCGGUACUCAGUGUGUUCUAAAUGUUUGCUUGCAGAAGUGGGAUUGAAACUAGUGGGGGAGAAGUCAUGCUUCUCGGAUAUGUCUCAGAUGCAAGAUGUUAGAGAGAUGCGUGGGGCAGUAGUACAAGAGUGUGGAGUUAUUGCUUUCUGAAGCGAAGGUGACAUGGACUGAAGACCGUGGUUGUUGUUCAGUCGGAGUGUCUCGGAGUAGAUGAUGGUUAUUUCUGAGAAAUGGAAUUUGGAAGUUGUGAUGCCUCAAGUGCUACUGACGUACUGCGAUGUUGUUGUAUGAGUAGCCCUAUGUAAAAGGUUGUUGUUGAAGCAGUGAUUAAAAGAAGUAUUGUCGUAGACCUUGUCGUAGGAUUACUAGUAAGUAAUUGAGAUGAUGGGAGAGGUUAUCGAUGUUGUUGAGAAAGUUUCGAAGUGCGAGUAAUGCAAAGAGACGAAUAUGAUCUCAAGGAUAAGAAGGUUGAUGAUGGCGUACACGAAUUUGGUUUCAGGAUGUUGCAGAAAUCGAACUUCAGCGAUGAAAUGUGUUGUUUAAGUUAUAAGAAGUUUGGAAGCGAAGAGAUGUGAUAAGAUGAUGUUAAUAAUGAGAUUAAUUUGAAGAGGAUGAGUUCUGGAGCAGAAUUUUCGUAAGCAAAUCGCAGGAAGAUUGCUGAAUCGUUAUGAAACUUCGAAAAUUCAUAACUGGAGUUCUGGACAUCCGAUUUGAGUUCCGUUUGAAGCGUCGGAAAGCUAACGAGAUGAACCUUGUUAUAAAAAUGGUUGCAGCAGCUGUAACAUAUUUAAUUGUGUUAGGAUGAUGUUAGAAAGAGGUGAAGUUACGGUUACACUUGUCCUUAGAACUAGAUUGUUCGUUGGUGCGGCAUGGGAUGUCAGUGUCAGAGUUAAACAGAAUAAAGGAAUAAUGAGGAGGCUUGUUGAGAAGCAAUCUUAGAGAUUAAAUGUGCCAAUUGAGAAGUUUUGGAGAUGUCGUAUAGAGUUUCGUUGCAUGGUAUCGGUAUUGUAUCUUGGGUAACGGUUGGAAACAUUCAUAUCUUGAACUUUGAGUAUCGGAUUAGGGUGUCGUUUGAGACUACGAAGAGGUGAGAUUAUGUUAUAACUUGUGGAAGAGUUAUAAAUACAGUAGAGUGGUCCUAUGAGGAGAUAUUAUGAUGUUGGAUAAAGAAGCCUAGACCAGUGUUGAAAUAGGAAUGCUUAUUACCGCGAUUGUUCGGAACGAAGUCGAGUAGAAUAUGUCCUUAAUAAAUAAGCGGAUAAAGAUGAUUUAAAUAUUGAUGGAUUUGAGUGAUGAAGGAAUCAGUAGAAAAAGUGAAAUAGACUUUGGAACCAUUUGUGGUAUAUUGUGAUGCGUCGUUGAUGGGUUUGGAUGGUGUAUUGAUGUAAAACCAGUAAGUAGUAACUUAUGCGUCGAGACGAUUGAAAGCGCAGGAAAGGAAUUAUCUGACUCAUGAUUUAGAAUUGGCAGCCAUGGUUUGUUUGAAGUUGCAGUAACAUUAUUGGUAUGGUUCGAGGUUGCCUCUAAAAAUGUCGAUGCUGAUGGUGAAAGAGUUGGAUUUAAUUGAACAAUUCAGAGAAUUAAGUUUGGUAUGUGAAAGUGCUCCUAAUAAUGUUAGAUUGGGUAUACUGAAACUGACUAAUGGUAUUCCUGACGAGAAUAGAGAAAGUCAGAAAGCUGAUGUUGAGUUGAUCGAUAAGUCGACCUUGGAUUACAAAGGUAAAGACGGCGAAUUCAGAAUUAACGAGGAUGGUGUAAUGAGGUCUAGAAGUCGCGUUUGCGUUCAAGAUGCUACCGGGUUGAGAAUUCUAGAAGAAGGACACCGUAGAGAAUUAGACAAUGUUAAUGAGUUGAGUAUAAACUCAGGAAGGACACUAUUAUGUAGUAACAACGGUUUAUGCUUAAACAUGAUUGUCGGCUAUCUAUUGACAAAUUGAGGACUUGAUCACCCUUAAUCUCUUGUUGAUAGUAGGCGGAGUCAUAUAGAUAGUAUGAGAUUGCUUGUUACCUUAAUGGUAUAAGAUGUGGUGAAGGUUGAGAGGUGAGAAUAACCACUCACCAUAUUGUGGGAACUUAUGAGGAAGUGAAUAUGAAGGAGUGCAAAGUAUUGGACGGUGACUUAAGACGAGUAGUCGUAGUCGUACAGCGAAAGUAUGAUGUAAAGUGGUGUUAUGAGUGCUACUCGUGAGUAGUGAGAAUUAAUAUGUCGGGGUUCUACAUGGAGAAUAUGUGUUUAUCUAUAUGUUGGGUUUAGAAUCUCGUGGACGUGAGGAUGUCGUGCCAAAGGAUUAUGACCUUUUGAAUAAUUGCCGAGAUGAUGGAUAUCCUAUUAUGGUUGAAUGUAGUUAAUGAGUAUGUGUUCGAAGAAUGUUAAGACAACGAGUUGAUACUAUGUAAUGCCAUAAUAAUUUUGUACUGUUGUAAGGUGUUAUGUAAAUUUAUGAAUAUAAUGUGGAAUUAUACUCUGCGAAGGACGAAGUUAAUCUGAUUCUUAGUGGAGAGUGGGACUCAAUUGAGCUACCUUGUAAGCAAUGGUAUAUUGAGGAUAAUGAGCUAUGUAAUUAUAACUACUGAUGUGUGCUUGUUCCGAUAGUGGGAAUGUUUUUAAUAGAUGAAGUAACUCGGGAAUUUGCUUUGAGUAAGUGUAAGUAUUACUUUAUCGCUCAAUUGCAAGAGUGUGCCUAAGGUUGGUACGUGAGUAAAUGGAAUCCAUUACUACAGUGUUGAUCAGUUGCGAUCAUACCAUGGAUUAUGUAAUUGUAUUAUUCAGUUGUUGAGUGUAUUGUAUGGAUCGUACCUCGAAGUUUCAUUGUCGUUAAUCGUUGGAGUAUAGCGAGUGGUAUACCCUGGGAUGGUCAGAUGCGAAGUAAGGGCGGAGAUUGAAUGCAUGAGAUAUGCUGGUGUUGGUUAUGUCAGAUGAAUUUUGAGACUCGACUAAGAAGGUGUUAACGGAGAAUGGGAGAGAGUCAAAUGAAGUACUCUUAUCUGGGACUUUACUUGAAGUAUGUUUUCGAGGACGAAAACUCUUUUAGUGGGGGAGAGUUGUAACACCCCAUAAUUUCAGUUUAUUAAUUUAAUUUGGAUUUAAAUUAAAUAAUUGGAAUUUUAGUAUUUUUAUUUGGAAUUAUUUGGAAAAUGAUGAAAUAUUGACAUUUGGGCCUAGAGUGGUGAUUAGCAGAAGAGGGGGUGUUGACUAAGCAAGCCCAUUAUAAUAAUUAUUUUAUUUUUCAUAAAAUAAGGAAUUUGGGGAAAAGAGGAAGGAGAAGCAGGAACUGAGUCUGAAGAAAGGAGAACACGUGAAAGUGAGAAGAGCCAAAGGGGAAGAGAACUUCGAAGAUUCGACUCUGAGAUUAAGGAUGUAGCGGCGUCUUGAUUGGGUGAAGAUAGCUUAUAGGCUAGCCCUUAGUCCGUGUCGAGUCAUGCUCUGAAUGUAACACUGGGGAACGCUAGUUUAGAGACGAGUUAUUAUGUCGGUCUUUGUUGUUUAUAAUUGUAUUAGAGAACUUGCAUGAAUGAUGAUGAUUAUGCAAUGUUAUGAAUUAUAAUCCGCUGUGUUGAACAUGAAUUGUAUUUAUGUUAAAUGGUUCCUCGUGUGGCAUGACAAAUGACUAUAGUAUUUUAUGUUAAAGAAGUUGUGA